AACGAACGCUGGCGGCAUGCCUAACACAUGCAAGUCGAACGAGACCUUCGGGUCUAGUGGCGCACGGGUGCGUAACGCGUGGGAACCUGCCCUUAGGUUCGGAAUAACUCCCCGAAAGGGGUGCUAAUACCGGAUAAUGUCUUCGGACCAAAGAUUUAUCGCCUUUGGAUGGGCCCGCGUUGGAUUAGCUAGUUGGUAGGGUAAAAGCCUACCAAGGCGACGAUCCAUAGCUGGUCUGAGAGGAUGAUCAGCGACACUGGGACUGAGACACGGCCCAGACUCCUACGGGAGGCAGCAGUGGGGAAUAUUGGACAAUGGGCGAAAGCCUGAUCCAGCAAUGCCGCGUGAGUGAUGAAGGCAUUAGGGUUGUAAAGCUCUUUUACCCGGGAUGAUAAUGACAGUACCGGGAGAAUAAGCUCCGGCUAACUACGUG
rnacentral:rRNA from 1 species